AGCUCAAUUUCUCUGAGGCUUUCUAAAACCCAUAUCCAAAACAGCGAAGACAAUGAGCUCCACUGCUGUACCUGCUGCUACUACUGCCAAGGGUGGCCGAGGCAAGUCCAAAGCCAAGUCGGUGUCCAGGUCUCUAAAGGCUGGUCUACAGUUUCCUGUUGGUCGAGUUGCCCGCUUCCUCAAGAAAGGCAGGUACGCUGAACGGCUCGGCUCUGGAUCCCCUGUCUAUCUCACUGCUGUUUUGGAGUACCUGGCUGCUGAGGUUUGUUAAUUUCAAAACUUUUGCUUUUGCUUUGCUUUUGUUUAAAUUUGGGGGUUUUGUGACUGAUUUUUGGGUCCUGUUUGUUUAGGUUUUGGAGCUUGCUGGGAAUGCAGCUAGAGAUAACAAGAAGAACAGGAUUAUUCCUAGGCAUAUUCAGCUUGCGGUGAGAAAUGAUGAGGAAUUAAGCAAGCUCUUGGGGUAUGUGACCAUUGCCAAUGGAGGGGUUUUGCCUAAUAUUCACCAAAAUUUACUGCCAAAGAAGACUGCAAAAGGGAAAGGUGAAAUUGGGUCUGCGUCUCAGGAGUUUUAGGGUUCUAAAUUAGUCUAUUUGUUUUUGAAGUUAGGGGUUUGUUAGGUAGGUUGCUCUUUCCAUGGGAUAGAUUGUUGAUAGCAUGUAAUGAAGCUGGGCUUGGAUUUGUAAAUCUCAGUUUGGACAAUGAAAUGGAUGGGCUACUCUCAUAAUUUUUCUGUACUCUUAGGUAGCUUGGUCUUUCUGUGGGAUAGAUUGUUAAUAGCAUGUGAUGAAAUUGGCCUUGGAUUUUGUGAAUCUCAUUUUGGACAAUGAAAUGUAUGGGCUACUGUUAAUUUUGCUAUGCUCGUUGGCUUUCUUCGUAUUUUUGGAUUUGUUGCUUUGUCCUAUAUUGGGUUUUAUGAAAAACAAAGGCGGAUGAUUUGUUUUUUAAGAGAAACAAAAAGAAGCUUGAAGGAUAAGUAUUAGCAUUGGACAAUCCGUUUUUUGUUAUCUGCAAAUUUUAUUUCAAUUUGGUCAGUAAACAGGCUAAACUAGAGGGUUUUGAUGCGAAUCAAAAAUUUACAUGGUAGGACUUCAUUUCAUGUCGCUACAAGUUGUAGACUGUAAUGAUGUGCUUAUUAGUUUGCUCAGGUCAGGAUUGAGAGCGUAAAGGAUCAUGGUGCUCGGGUUGAUGAUGUUGGUUACAACCCCUUUAUCGUGCAGUCGAAGCAGAGCAUAUUCAGGUUGCUGUGUUGAUUUCUCAUGGGGGCCAAAGCCAUGUGUCUCAAGGGUGUUUUAAUUUGACAAAGGGUAUCGUUCGAAGAGUUGUCUAUCGAAUUUCCUUCUUGUACUUGGUAAGAAUAUGUGAUAAAAUGACUUUUCGCUCCUAUUUCAGCCAUACGAUUCCAAUUUUUAGUCUUUUCCUCUCCUGUGUACCCUUUUGAUGAUCGCAUUACAAGCAAAUUAAUGAGAUCUUGUAAUUUACGGAGUGAAGUUGUAUAAUCAGCUGUAAUAAUCCAUUUGUUUGAGUCGGAGAUUACUUAUAAGGCCGGCCCAUGGAAUUGAAUUCAUGACGGGCCAACAGAAUGGCUGAGGAGGCCCAUCGGGACAAAGUGAGUGGGUGAACCCGGAAGCAUCAACCGCGUUUCACAUCCCACCCCUCAAAUCCUGCAAGUCGGCGAUUCGUGGCCUUUACGCUCCCUCCUGCCUCCUUGUUUGCUGAUUCCAAUAUAUCUCACCCUUUCUCUCUCAAACCGCUAAAGCCAACACCGAACGCCAGAGGUCUUCAAUUUUUCAUUUUUCUUCUGCGCAGGGUUAGGUUUCAAUCCUUUAACAACUUAAGCCAGCCAUGAGUUCCGCAGGGUCAACCAAGGGAGGCAGAGGCAAGCCUAAGUCAUCCAAAUCCGUGUCUAGAUCUCAAAAGGCCGGUCUGCAGUUCCCCGUCGGUCGAAUCGCCCGUUUUCUCAAAGCUGGAAAGUACGCCGAUCGCGUGGGUGCCGGCGCUCCUGUCUAUCUUUCCGCCGUCCUUGAGUACCUUGCUGCUGAGGUUCUUGAACUUGCUGGCAAUGCAGCAAGGGACAACAAGAAGAACCGUAUUGUUCCAAGGCACAUUCAGCUAGCUGUGAGGAAU
rnacentral:misc_RNA from 1 species